rnacentral:rRNA from 1 species
ACUCCUACGGGAGGCAGCAGUGGGGAAUAUUGCACAAUGGGGGAAACCCUGAUGCAGCCAUGCCGCGUGUGUGAAGAAGGCCUUGGGUUGUAAAGCACUUUCAGUAGGGAGGAAGGUAGUGUAGUUAACACCUGCAUUAUUUGACGUUACCUACAGAAGAAGCACCGGCUAACUCCGUGCCAGCAGCCGCGGUAAGUACGGAGGGUGCGAGCGUUAAUCGGAAUUACGUGGGCGUAAAGCGCAUGCAGGCGGCUUGUUAAGUCAGAUGUGAAAGCCCGGGGUCUUAACCUCGGAAUUGCAUUUGAAACUGGCAGGCUAGAGUCUUGUAGAGGGGUUAGAAUUUCAGGUGUAGCGUGAAAUGCGUAGAGAUCUGAAGGAAUACCGAGUGGCGAAGGCGGCCCCCGUAGGACAAAGACUGACGCUCAGAUGCGAAAGGCGU